rnacentral:rRNA from 1 species
AAUACCGCAUAAAACCUAACACCGCAUGGUGUAGGGUUGAAAGAUGGUUUCGGCUAUCACUUUAGGAUGGACCCGCGGUGCAUUAGUUAGUUGGUGAGGUAAAGGCUCACCAAGACCGUGAUGCAUAGCCGACCUGAGAGGGUAAUCGGCCACACUGGGACUGAGACACGGCCCAGACUCCUACGGGAGGCAGCAGUAGGGAAUCUUCCACAAUGGACGAAAGUCUGAUGGAGCAACGCCGCGUGAGUGAAGAAGGUUUUCGGAUCGUAAAACUCUGUUGUUGGAGAAGAAUGUAUCUGAUAGUAACUGAUCAGGUAGUGACGGUAUCCAACCAGAAAGCCACGGCUAACUACGUGCCAGCAGCCGCGGUAAUACGUAGGUGGCAAGCGUUGUCCGGAUUUAUUGGGCGUAAAGCGAGCGCAGGCGGUUUCUUAAGUCUGAUGUGAAAGCCUUCGGCUCAACCGAAGAAGUGCAUCGGAAACUGGGAAACUUGAGUGCAGAAGAGGACAGUGGAACUCCAUGUGUAGCGGUGAAAUGCGUAGAUAUAUGGAAGAACACCAGUGGCGAAGGCGGCUGUCUGGUCUGUAACUGACGCUGAGGCUCGAAAGCAUGGGUAGCAAACAGGAUUAGAUACCCUGGUAGUCCAUGCCGUAAACGAUGAGUGCUAGGUGUUGGAGGGUUUCCGCCCUUCAGUGCCGCAGCUAACGCAUUAAGCACUCCGCCUGGGGAGUACGACCGCAAGGUUGAAACUCAAAGGAAUUGACGGGGGCCCGCACAAGCGGUGGAGCAUGUGGUUUAAUUCGAAGCAACGCGAAGAACCUUACCAGGUCUUGACAUCCUUUGACCACUCUAGAGAUAGAGCUUUCCCUUCGGGGACAAAGUGACAGGUGGUGCAUGGUUGUCGUCAGCUCGUGUCGUGAGAUGUUGGGUUAAGUCCCGCAACGAGCGCAACCCUUAUUACUAGUUGCCAGCAUUUAGUUGGGCACUCUAGUGAGACUGCCGGUGACAAACCGGAGGAAGGUGGGGACGACGUCAAAUCAUCAUGCCCCUUAUGACCUGGGCUACACACGUGCUACAAUGGAUGGUACAACGAGUUGCGAGACCGCGAGGUUUA